CUGGGCCUUAUGGGCUGCCCAGGCGGAGCGGGACUUCCCGGUCAUUGUCAUCCUCCGCUCCCCGCGCUCAGCCUGGCCCGAGCUCAGCUUCCCCAGCCCCUGUCCACCGCCCACCUGCUGAGGAGCAGCAGAGUGCUGUGUCACUCAGGAGUUGGGGACCCCUGACCGAACCCAACCGCCCUCGUGCGCUGUGCAGAAAGAUUUUUUAAAAAGCCUCGUGGGGCAUAGCACCAUCGCUAAAUGCCUGGUACAUUUAAGAAGCCUGACUGCGGGAGAGGCCCUCUACAAAUGCUGUUACCUGGGAUCUGAGAACUAAGUAAGCCAGACUUUCUUUAAUUCUAAAUGGCAAAAAAAAAAAAAAAAAAAAAAAUCUAAAUACUUUUCAUAACAUUAUACUAAUAAUGGCCAGUUGUUUAUUUUUAUUUCUGUUGUUAAUAUUCACAAUUCAUUUGCUAACUAAAUAUUUAAAAGUUCUCGUGUUAAUCUAGUCUCUUAGUUAGAACUUUUAGUUCUAGUGCUAACUGGUCUUAAAAAACAAUUUCAAAAAAACAAAAACCAGUUUCAGAUCUCCAACUCUGAUAUGGAGACGAUCAAUAUUAUUUGACUUUCUUUGUUAGAACAGUAGCACUUGGGGGCGCCUGGCUGGCUCACUCAGUAGAGCAUAGGACUCUUGAUCUCGGAUUGUAAGUUCAAGUUCCACGAUGGUUGUAGAGAUUACUUAAAAAAAAAAAACCUUAGGGGCACCUCGGUGGCUCAGUUCAUUGAGCAUCCACCUCUUGAUUUCGGCCCAGGUCGUAAUCUCGCGGUUUGCAGGAUCAAGCCCCGCGUCAGGCUCUGUGCGGACGGCGUGGAGCCUGCUUGGCAUUCUCUCUCUCCCUCUCUCUGCCCACCCCCACUACGUGCUCGCUCUCUCUCUUUCUCUCCCUCAAAAU
rnacentral:lncRNA from 1 species